rnacentral:rRNA from 1 species
CAAUAGCGUAUAUUAAAGUUGUUGCAGUUAAAAAGCUCGUAGUUGGAUUUGUGGCGUACGGUGGGUUCCGGGCACUUGUUGUCUGAGUAACUUGCUGUUGCCAUCCUUGGGUGGAACCUGUGUGGCAUUAGGUUGUCGUGCAGGGGAUGCCCAUCAUUUACUGUGAAAAAAUUAGAGUGUUCAAAGCAGGCUUAUGCCGUUGAAUAUAUUAGCAUGGAAUAAUGAGAUAGGACUUUUUUGCUAUUUUGUUGGUUUGCGCAAAGAGGUAAUGAUUAAUAGGGUCAGUUGGGGGUAUUCGUAUUCCAUUGUCAGAGGUGAAAUUCUUGGAUUUUUGGAAGACGAACUACUGCGAAAGCAUUUACCAAGGAUGUUUUCAUUAA